rnacentral:snRNA from 1 species
AUCUUUGUCAGUGGCAGUGUUGUAUCCAAUGAGGUUUAUCUGAGGUGCAAUUAUUGCUAAUUCAAAUAUUGCAAUAUAGCCAAGGAUUUAGCUCAGUGGUGCCACUGCCUGCCUUGCAAGUGCAAGAUUCUGCAUUCAAUUCCCAGUACAAUAUAUAUAUAUAUAUAUAUAUA